rnacentral:lncRNA from 1 species
UAAUGGCUUCCUUACUCAAAAUUUCAGUUUACUCUAGAAUGGCCUGAAAUCGGCAUAUAUUAGCUUGAAACAUUAGGCCCAAUUUAAAAGUCGGUAAAUGGCAUAAAACAGGAAAUACCAUCAACAAUGUACUGGUAGAUGCAACAAAAAAUAUUUGAAAUUUAUAUAUCAGCAGUCCUUUAUUUUUCCCAUGCUAAUCAAUCCAAUCACACUGUUUCAUUGGUAAUGUUUCGUCUCCACAAACUAAUGUUAUAGGCUAGAAUGGUGGAUCACAAGAUAACUUUCCCAUUACCAUUUGCGAAUUAAAAGGUUUCACCAACCAGGCAUUAGUUGUUAAAUCAGGCUUUUAGCUCAUGAUGCAUCUAAAGUGCAGUAACCUUAGAAGCACUACAAAAUAGACAAAGAUCUCAACUAAAUUGGAUCAUAAAAUGCUUUAGUUUGAUGAAUUUGAGAGCAAACAAUUGAAGAUUUUACUGGCCCGUGAAGAACUCUCAUGUUCAGAGAAUGAAGGUCGCGGAGAUGAGGAUGCUUAGGUGNNN